GAGACUUCAAUCCAUUUAGCCUAGACAAGCUGGUUAUAAGAGAAUCCAUGGAGAAAUUUUGUGCCAAAGUUUGAUUCGACACUCGAAAUGAAUUAAAAUUACCAACCCUUUUUUGUUUAUCACCAAAGAUUAUGAUCUCAGUAACCAAAUUGUCUUCACAAUUUAUGUUCACCUGAGUAGUUGUCAAAAGCCAUAAAUCUAACUGUUUUGGCUAUUCCGAUUGCUUCCUUAGUGCAAAAGCACCUGCAUUUGGGAGGAUUGUGCUUGAUAAGUUCCCAAAAUCAAGAAACUCACUGAAAAACAGAGAAAUGUAAAGAAUCUUGAGCAUUCCAUGGACUUAAAAUUUCAUGAAUAAAAGCACAUAACUUCACUAAAAACUCCAAAUUCUAAAGAACUCACGUAAAAUAAACUAGAGAUGAGAACAAAUUGUAGUCCAAGGUUGUUCAAAAAGUUGAUUCAAGAUCCAAGAUUCACUUCAUCAAGAAAAUAUCAAAGCACAAAACUUGGUGAAAAUGAAAUAUUUCUUGAAUCCCUCAAAAAUGUGAAAACAAAUUGCAACGUUUUAUGGACUUAUAAUUUCAUGAAGGGAAGACCCGCAAAAAAUAAGCUAUAGAUGGAAACAAAUUGUUUAGUCCGAGGUUGUUCAAAAAGCUGAUUCACG
rnacentral:lncRNA from 1 species